UACAGAGGUCUCAAGCGUUGUUCGGAUUCAUUGGGCGUAAAGGGUGCGUAGGUGGCGGGGCAAGUCAGGUGUGAAAUCUCGAGGCUCAACCUCGAAACUGCACUUGAUACUGCCUUGCUCGAGUACUGGAGAGGAGAUUGGAAUUUACGGUGUAGCAGUGAAAUGCGUAGAUAUCGUAAGGAAGACCAGUGGCGAAGGCGAAUCUCUGGACAGUUACUGACACUGAGGCACGAAGGCCAGGGGAGCAAACAGG
rnacentral:rRNA from 1 species